GUGGGGAAUAUUGGGCAAUGGGCGCAAGCCUGACCCAGCAACGCCGUGUGAGGGAAGAAGGCUUUCGGGUCGUAAACCUCUGUCAGAAAGGAAGAACCUCCCAAGUCCGAAUAGGGCUUGGGACUGACGGUACUUUCAAAGGAAGCACCGGCUAACUACGUGCCAGCAGCCGCGGUAAUACGUAGGGUGCGAGCGUUAAUCGGAAUUACUGGGCGUAAAGCGUGCACAGGCGGUGCUGUAAGACAGGCGUGAAAUCCCCGGGCUCAACCUGGGAAUUGCGCUUGUGACUGCAGCGCUGGAGUGCGGCAGAGGGGGAUGGAAUUCCGCGUGUAGCAGUGAAAUGCGUAGAUAUGCGGAGGAACACCGAUGGCGAAGGCAAUCCCCUGGGCCUGCACUGACGCUCAUGCACGAAAGCGUGGGGAGCAAACAGGAUUAGAUACCCCGGUAGUCC
rnacentral:rRNA from 1 species